rnacentral:rRNA from 1 species
UUGGAUUUUUGGAUCAAGGGUGGCCUCUACAUGUAAGCUACUGUUUGAAGAUGAGCCCGCGUACCAUUAGCUUGUUGGUGGGGUAAUGGCCUACCAAGGCAACGAUGGUUAGCUGGUCUGAGAGGAUGAUCAGCCACACUGGAACUGACACACGGUCCAGACUCCUACGGGAGGCAGCAGUGAGGAAUUUUGCGCAAUGGGGGAAACCCUGACGCAGCAACGCCGCGUGAGUGAUGAAGGCUUUCGGGUCGUAAAGCUCUGUCAAGUGGGAAGAACCUAUAUAAUGUUAAUACCAUUAUAUACUGACGGUACCACUGAAGGAAGCACCGGCUAACUCCGUGCCAGCAGCCGCGGUAAUACGGGGGGUGCAAGCGUUAUUCGGAAUCAUUGGGCGUAAAGAGCACGUAGGCGGCUUGGUAAGUCAGAUGUGAAAGCCCGGGGCUUAACCUCGGAAGUGCAUUUGAUACUGCCUGGCUUGAGUAUGGGAGAGGGAAGUGGAAUUCCUGGUGUAGAGGUGAAAUUCGUAGAUAUCAGGAGGAACACCGGUGGCGAAGGCGACUUCCUGGACCAAUACUGACGCUGAGGUGCGAAGGCGUGGGUAGCAAACAGGAUUAGAUACCCUGGUAGUCCACGCAGUAAACGUUGAUCACUAGGUGUAGCGGGUAUUGACCCCUGCUGUGCCGCAGUUAACGCAUUAAGUGAUCCGCCUGGGGAGUACGGUCGCAAGAUUAAAACUCAAAGGAAUUGACGGGGGCCCGCACAAGCGGUGGAGCAUGUGGUUUAAUUCGACGCAACGCGAA